rnacentral:lncRNA from 1 species
AAUACACAUCAAGUAUACUUUAAUAGAUUAGUGAAAUUUGCAAAGAAAGUAGAGGAAGGUCGAUUUGGCACUGUCUUGAUAAAAUCACAAGUAGUAGGCAUCACCAUUAUGAAAUACACCUUUGUGCAUUUCAAGAAAAGAACUGACAUGAUUCAUUUUGUACAAAAUAAUUGGAGACUGUUGCACUUUAUUGAAUUUUGUAAAAACAGAAAAACAAACAAAAAAUUAAUUUAAGUGAUAGAGUAACAAUUGAGAAACUUCCAAGUAGGAAUAGACAUAUUGACUUAAAAUACAAACUAUCAUAAAUGUUAGGACUAGACAUAAUAACUCACAUAUAGCAAAGAUAUUUUCUGAAUUGUCUUCUACAUUUAUAUGUUCAAAAUUGAUUUAGAGGUCAACACAGAUAUAUCUAAGUGAUUAGAAUUUAAAGUUACAAAAAAAAAGAAUUUAAAGUUACAAUGUAGAUUUCUUCUUUUUCACAAAAGAACAUUAUAAAUCAAUAUGGAUCAGAUUCCUUUGCAAUCUUGGUAUUCCUUUUGGAACGUAAAUGGAGAUGAAAGUUAGACACAUAGAUUUCAUCUAUAUCUCACUUUGGUUGAGAAUUUCUAAGGAAUGUCAAUCUGAUUUUAAAAGAAAUAGACUUUCAAAUAAGAAAUGCCCUCUUCCACAUUAAAAAAAAGGAAAGAAUUCCUUUCUAAAAUAUUUAUUCACCACUGGAUAUGUCACCAAUUGGGAAGUGCCAAUCUCAUCUAUAAAUGUGAGAAGUGGAACAAGAAGAAGAGGCAGCUCUUGUGAAAUGCAGCAAGGCAGUAACCUAGGGCGAGGUUUGACAAAUCUUGAUUGUGUGAUUUCCUAUCCUUUUGGUUCAUUCUGCCACCCACCAGACAACUAAAAAUAAAACACAGGCUCAAUAAUUUUAGCACAUAAGAUAGAUUUGUCAAAUAAUACAUAAUGUUAUUGUAACUAUCAAGUAGCAAUACCCUUAAAGCAUGAGUCAUUCUCAGUGUUGAACCUGGAAAAAUAAGUACAAGCAGGGAGUCUUUUUCAACCUACUGGUAACCUGUUGAAUUCACUCAAUUACUAUUUUUAUCAAUCAUAGUUUGUUUCCUAAUCUUCCCAUUUGCUCAUAUGUUCUUCUUGGCCAUUGAAAUAUCUGAAUUGUAUGUAAAAAUGUAAAGAUUUUGAUUUUUCCAUGUAAAAAAAAUAUGCAUGGUCUUUUAUUUCUUCUCUUUUAAGCACCAAGUCAGUGUUCUAAAGUUGUAUAAUUACUGUAAAAAUUAUAUUCCAAUACUCUAUAUAAACUUAAAUGUGGCCAGCAUUAUUAUUUCAGAGUUGCCAUACAAUACAGAACAUCCUUCACUUAGUUUGUAAAGAGUUUUAACCAGUGUG